rnacentral:pre_miRNA from 1 species
UCUUAUGGAUGAGCAAAGAAAGUGGUUUCUUGAGGUGCAGUCUACUCCUGGUAACCAUGCUGUGAA